rnacentral:rRNA from 1 species
UAAGGAAUAUUGGUCAAUGGAGGCAACUCUGAACCAGCCAUGCCGCGUGAAGGAUGAAUGCCCUCUGGGUUGUAAACUUCUUUUAUUUGGGACGAAACCCUCGGAUUCUUCUGAGAUUGACGGUACCAGAUGAAUAAGCACCGGCUAACUCCGUGCCAGCAGCCGCGGUAAUACGGAGGGUGCAAGCGUUAUCCGGAUUCACUGGGUUUAAAGGGUGCGUAGGUGGGCUUGUAAGUCAGUGGUGAAAUCUCCGUGCUUAACAUGGAAACUGCCAUUGAUACUAUAGGUCUUGAAUUUUCCGGAGGUGAGCGGAAUAUGUCAUGUAGCGGUGAAAUGCUUAGAUAUGACAUAGAACACCGAUUGCGAAGGCAGCUCGCUACAGGGACAUUGACACUGAGGCACGAAAGCGUGGGGAUCAAACAGGAUUAGAUACCCUGGUAGUCCACGCCCUAAACGAUGGAUACUCGACAUUUGCGAUACACAGUAAGUGU